AUGGCCUUUUUUGGGUACAAGUUUGGCUUUGGGAAGUGCUUUGGAGCUUCUUCUCGGUCCAGACACGGAGCUGGUCGUCGCCGAUUGUUAUAUACCCCACUUUUUGUCGCACAUCUUAAUCCUAUCAAGAAAUGGAGCCGCGGGGCCCGGCAAGCGCGGAGACGUGAGGGAGGCGGCCGGGGCUCCCGCCUCAGGAAGGGCACGCACGGAGGGGCGGCCGUGGCGCGCCGCCCGCCCCGGCGCCCCCUCCCCGGCGCCCGCCCGCAGCGCGAUAAAAGAGCCGCGUUUCCUGACGGGAGACUCGCGCUGCUGCGGCCGCCCGCCAGGCGCGACGACAGGGAGCCCCUGACGGCUGCGAGGAGCGGCGCGGGCCGUUUGCUGACCGGAUCGCGGCUGCCCACCGGCGUGUCUGCGGCGCCACCGCUGGCAUCCACAUUUCCGAGGGCCCGGCGGUGUACCAAGGCGACAAAGAGGCUGAGGUCGCGCCGGGGCCGCCGCGCCGCCACCGUCGUCAGGCGGGCCGUGCCUCGCACAGGGACAGACGGCCGCCCUGCCACCGCCCGAGGCGCGCCGGAGCCUGGCGAAGUCAGCGGCAAGAAGCAUGGAAAAAACCAAAAAUACAAAGAUCAACUUCAGGUGCUUUUAGUGUUUAUCAAAGAUGAUAAUCAGUGUAAUGGAUUCUGCAGAGCAUGUGAAAAAGCAGGGUUUAAGUGUACAGUCACCAAGGAGCCUCAGGCUGUUCUUGCCUGUUUCCUGGACAAACAUCAUGACAUCAUCAUCAUAGGCCACAGAAAUCUUCAACAUCUGACGCAGAGGCACUGUGCAGGUCUAUCAGAUCAUCAGAACUCUCAGAAAACACAGUUAUUGUUGGUGUAAUAUGCAGGGUGGAUAGAAAAGAGUUAUUUAUAAUGCCUUUCCUUGCUGCUGGAUUCACAGGAGGUAUAUUGAAAACCCCAACAUCAUGGUUUACUACAAUGAACUGCUCCAGCUGGAGUUUGGAGAGGUGCCAUCACAACUAAAAUUCAGGGCUUGCAACUCAAUAUUCACUGCAUUAGAGAAAAGUCAGGAAGCAGUUAAAAUUAUAAGUGAAGACCACAUUAUACAGUAUGCAAACCCUGCAUUUGAAACAACAAUGGGCUAUCAGGCAGGUGAAUUAAUAGGAAAGGAGAAGUGGCUAUAAAUGAAAAGAAGGCUGACUUGCUGGAUACUAGAAAUUCAUGCAUCAAGAUAGGCAAGGAGUUUACUAUGCCAAAAAGAAAAAUAGAGAUAAUGUACAACAAAAUAUGAAGAUAAUACCUGUCCUUGGACAGGGAGGAAAAAUUAGACACUAUGUCCGUUAUCUGAGUGUGCAAUAGCAACUAUAAGGCUGAGAAAAUAUCUGAAUGUGUUCAGUCUGACACUAAUACAGGUAAUCAGACAGGCAAACAUAAAGACAGAAGGGCCACUGGACGUCAGAGCUGUCGCCCACCCCACCCCCCAAUCUAGUGAAGUGUCCAGCCAGAGAGGACACUCCUCCAUGGCCCAUAUACAAUCCAUGAUGAUUGAGGCACCCAUCACCAAGGUAAUCAAUAUUAUCAAUGCUGCCCAGGAAAGCAGUCCCAUGCCUGUGACAGAGGCCCUAGACCAUGUGUUAGAAAUGCUAAGAACCACUGAAUUAUACUCACCACAGUGCAGUGCGAAGGAUGACAAGCCUCAUGCCAAUGACCUCGUUGGCGCCUUAGUGUCUGACAGUUUGCGAAGACUAUCAGGGAAUGAAUAUGUUCUUUCAACAAAAAGCAUUCAGCAGGUUUCAAGCAAUAUAAUCACUCCGAUCUCCCUUCAUAAUGUCCCACCACGGAUAUCUUGGGCCAUGGAAAUUGAGGAAUACUGGGACUUUGAUAUUUUUGAACUGGAGGCUGCCACUCACUAUAGGCCUUUGAUUUAUCUUGGUCUCAAAAUGUUUGCUCGCUUUGGAAUCUGUGAAUUCUUAAACUGCUCCGAGUCAACGCUGAGAUCAUGGUUACAAAUUAUUGAAGUCAAUUAUCAUUCUUCCAACCCCUUCCACGAUUCUACACAUUCUGCUGAUAUGCUUCACGCCUAUUUUCUCUUCAAGGAGAGAAGGAAACAUUAGAUCCAAUGGAUGAGGUUGCUGCACUCAUUGCAGCCACCAUUCAAGAUGUAGAUCACCGUGGGAGAACCAACUCCUUCCCGUGCAAUGCUGGAAGUGAGCUGGCCAUUUCGUACAAUGACAUUGCUGUGCUGGAGAGCCACCACAUGGCCUUGGCCUUCCAGCUGACCACUGGAGAUGAUAAAUGCAAUAUCUUUAAAAACAUGGAGAGGAAUGACUAUCGAACACUGUGCCAGGGGAUUAUUGACAUGAUCCUAGCCACAGAAAUGACAAAGCACUUUGAGCAUGUUAACAAAUUUGUCAAAGCCUCUGGCAUGAAAGCCCAGGAAAGAAGGAAGCACCUUUUAAAGUUUAUAAAACAGGAAGGAGAUAAUGAAAUUGGGAAAAGAAAAUUGGCAACUGUUUCCAAAGACUUCUAAAUGCGUCGCACAAGUGGCACAAUAGAAAGGUGAAAAGUGCUAUACUUUAAGAGGCUACAUAUAUAUCCAACACAAGCACAACAUAGACACAAGCACAACAUCUCAAAGUUCAUCUAAGGCUGAGCAUGGUGGCUCAUGACUGUAAUCCCAGCUCUUUGCGAGGCCAAGGCAAAGGAGGAUCCCUUGAGGCCAGG